AUGCGUCGCUCCCGCCCCCCGGGCUCUUGCCCAAUUAGACAGGAGGGGCGGGGCCUCCGCUCUGCGCAGCCUCCGCUCUGUGCAGUCCCCGAGGGGAGGUGCGGCGUAGUCUUUCUCCGAAGUGCUGCGGGCUGGCAAGUCCAGCGUGGAGUGGGGGCUGUGCGUGGCCGUAAUGAAAAUGCUGAGUCAAAGCAUAUGGCAAUUUUUAUCACAGUCCUUGACACUGACUGCCAUAUUUCUUUCAAAAAAGGCUGUACCAAUUUCAGCACAAGCAUCAAGAUAUGGGUAUCAAUUUUACCUAAUCUUGUCAGCAUUUAAUAGAGAGAAACAGAGCAUGAGCAGGGGAGGGGCAGAGAGAGAGAGACACAGAAUCCGAAGCAGGCUCCAGGCUCCGAGCCGUCAGCACAGAGCCCGCAAGGGGCUCGAACUCACAAA